rnacentral:rRNA from 1 species
UGUCGAUCUCCGAUGGUAAAAGAAGCGCACCUUCAGCAAAGUCUUUCAUUACAACCAGGCUUUUCUCUAUGUCCUCCCUGUCACCGUCAGGCAAAAGCAUGUCAUAAACGGUUUCAUGAAAUCCGGUAUGGGCAUUUGCAUCCGGUCCAAACUGCAUCCCGAUACUCUGGAAAUAUUUUACCAGUUCACCGGGCUUAAAAUUUGUAGAACCGUUAAAAAGCAUGUGCUCAAGAAAAUGGGCUAAUCCCUGUUGAUUGUCUGACUCAUGCAUUGAACCUGCUUGAAUAUCCAGGUGCAUACUAACCCUGUCUUUGGGU